rnacentral:sRNA from 1 species
UUCUCUCUUCCUCGGCGCUGCCUACGGAGGUGGCAGCCAUCUCCUUCUCGGCAUCAUGGCCGCCCUCAGACCCCUUGUGAAGCCCAAGAUCGUCAAAAAGAGAACCAAGAAGUUCAUCCGGCACCAGUCAGACCGAUAUGUCAAAAUUAAGCGUAACUGGCGGAAACCCAGAGGCAUUGACAACAGGGUUCGUAGAAGAUUCAAGGGCCAGAUCUUGAUGCCCAACAUUGGUUAUGGAAGCAACAAAAAAACAAAGCACAUGCUGCCCAGUGGCUUCCGGAAGUUCCUGGUCCACAACGUCAAGGAGCUGGAAGUGCUGCUGAUGUGCAACAAGUGAGUUGGGUCCCACCUCUAGUUUUCAGGGAUCAGAAGUUUGCAUCUGUGUGAGCACUUCUGGCAGGAACUCUACAAACUCUUGGGAUGCAUUUUGGCGGGGGGUGUUGUACAUUCUCUGAGGGAAUCAGAAGUUGUUCCUUGCAGGAUUUUAGAGAAUGCUUGUUGGGGAAUUCAAGGUGUUUCCUUUGCUGAAGGGAGGAGACUUGGUCUUCUAAGUGUAGAGACCCAAGACCAGGAAAAGACUGCUUUGUGAACACUGCAAUAAUAGCCACUUUCCACUACUACAAUAUCCUUUG